rnacentral:lncRNA from 1 species
GUUCCCAACAGCAUUCUCCCCUGCUGACAACCCUUCUCAGAUUCCCAGCUGCAGAACUGUGAGAAGUCAGUUUGUUGUUUACAAGUCUCCUGGCCUGUGGUCUUCUGUUACAGCAGCCCUACGGACUGAGACUGUCCCGAAGAAGACAGACUAAGCAUCUGGGCUGAUGGUACUUGCCCUGUCCGGAACAAAGGAGCAGCUCAACGCAGGUGCAUGAUUGUGCAGAACAAAGGUGGCAGAGUUGGAGGGGCAGGCCGGUGGGCACCGCCUUCUGGUGGGAGAACCUCUUCUCCGGCUCCUUUUUCAUCCACAGUCUGAGGUCUCAACAAGGUCUAAACUUCAGAGGGAAAGAAAGGGCGGCUUCUUAUUGACCCCCAAACCUCCAGCGUACAGACCAAUCAGGAAGGCCACUCAGACCCUGCGGCAGAGGAGUAGGGUCCCUGUAGAGAAGGGAUGUGGGUCCUGCAGUUGUGUGGGGCUUGAGUGGCUUUCUGUGCCCUGCUAGGGACGUGGGCUCUGCCUCCCAAUUACAGAGCCCUAGGCUAGUGACAUGCGCAUGCAGCCGUGGAGAUUAGCAGUGGCCAAGGAGGUGUGGGAGGUCAUCUGUAGGUGGAGGGGUUUGGAAACCCCAAGUCCACCCAAGAGACAGAAUGGUCUGAAGGCAGAACCAAAGCUUGCCUGAGACUGGUAGGAAGGACAGGAAUCGAAGGUGCCAGCCAUCAGAAAGGCUCUGCUGGCACCCGCGGACCUCGCAGCGCUCCCACCCACAAGCUUGGGAGCCGUCCUGCCUGUGCACUGCUGGGACAGGGAGGCCUUGGCAGCACUGUCCUCUUUCCCUUCUCUGCAACCCACCCAGGUGUCUGUCCUCAGCAGCCCUCCAACCUGCGUCCUGAGUCGCAUUUCCUCCUGCCUAGGCUUCCGCUCAGGGUCAGCAUGAUAACCAUCUUACAGCAGCAGUAAGCAGGCCAUGCCUCUGGCUCGCAUGUAGCUGUGCUCUAGGAGGAACCGUCCACCCAGGAACCAGUACACAAGAUGCUCGAUGCUCCAGAUGUGAUGAUGACCUGGACUCCCCAGUGAGCGUCCUGCUUUCCAGUCCUCUGAGCUCACAACAUGUGAACUGUGAGGACAAGUCACCUUCACGAACACUCAACCCUAGGACAGUACCCGCAGAGAAGACCUCAGUGUUUCUGGGAUCCGUGAACGACUAGACCACCAAGUCCCUCUGCCGUUACAUCAUCGGCUCCAGUAUGGGAGACGAAGGGCAGAGGACUUCACUGGCUUCUUAUUUGCUUACAAGUCUUGUUUCCUGUUCAGAACUAUAAAUGGGUGCCCUCCUCUGUGCUUGAGACCUUGAACGCUCUGAGCUGGUCAUGCCGGGGUCCAGGAGGGGAGUCAGGAUCCUGGGCCUGAGAGCUGAGGGUCAGUUGCUUAGGACCUCACUAAGUUGCUGAGACAGCCUUUGAUCUUGUGAUUCUCCUGCCUCAGCCUCCUGAGCCACUCUGCCCAGCCACAACAAUGACUUUAAAGGGUAGGUCUACCCAUUUGAUCAAUAUUUGAGGCCUACAUUUGCUAAAAAAAUGUUUACCUGAAAUUGAAAUUUAACUGUUCACUCUGUAUCUUUAUUUGCCAAAUUUGAUAACCUUACUUUUAAACGUAAAAUGUAUUAAUGUGAUUGAAGACUCAUGCAUAGUUUAAAUAACAAAGAACAUUCUCAGCACAUUUUGCCUGCUGAGCCCAGUGCUGUCAUCUUGCAAAUCUACCCUGGUAGUUGGACCUCAGUGCGCCCAUCUUGCUCAGGUUCCCGGUCUCUAUCACCCAUACUGUCCGAUUGUCCACUAACCACUGUCAAGACAUCAGACAGAAUAGGUCCGUCCAGGCCACCUGGAUGCGAGGCAGAACACGGACCCUUAGGUGCCUUCAUCAUUCAGUCCUGGCUUUCACGGAGGGAGAUGAACUCAUAGGUGCUUAUUUCAUUUUCACAAAUAAAUAUUUAUUAAAAGGCUCAUGCAGGGGCUCACCAUGAUGAUUUUUCAUAAAGCAAGGGUAGCGAGUGACUUGACUUGCUGCGCAGGACUCCAAUGAGGAAGACUAAGGUUAACACAAGCCAGUUCUAUAGCCACGCGGAGGUGGGCUGGGAGGGGGACAGAGGUGUUGCUGCACCCCCUUUCCUGCUAUUUAGGCUAGUCCUAGUGCACCCCUGCAUGGCACGAGCCACCGUCUCUCCUGAAGAUGACUCACUCCAG